GUAAGGAAUAUUGGGCAAUGGAGGCAACUCUGACCCAGCCAUGCCGCGUGAAGGAUUGACGGCCCUCUGGGUUGUAAACUUCUUUUGUACGGGAAUAACCCUCCGAACGUGUUCGGAGCUGAAGGUACCGUAAGAAUAAGGAUCGGCUAACUCCGUGCCAGCAGCCGCGGUAAUACGGAGGAUCCAAGCGUUAUCCGGAUUUACUGGGUUUAAAGGGUGCGUAGGCGGAUUGAUAAGUCAGUGGUGAAAUCCUGCAGCUUAACUGCAGAACUGCCAUUGAUACUGCCAGUCUGGAGUAUGGUUGAGGUAGCUGGAAUGUGUCAUGUAGCGGUGAAAUGCUUAGAGAUGACACAGAACACCGACGGCGAAGGCAGGUUACCAACCCAUUACUGACGCUGAGGCACGAAAGCGUGGGGAUCAAACAGGAUUAGAUACCCGGGUAGUCC
rnacentral:rRNA from 1 species